AACAUGCUGAUGUUGAAAAUUAUUUUCAGACGUGCAAAUUACCUUGUAUUUCAGCAGAAUGCUUAUUUCUUCAAACGCAUUGGCAAUGGCUUCCUUGUAUGAGGCUUAGUCAUCCCAUCGCUGUGCGAAAGGAAUGGCGGCCUGAGAACAGUGCUGUCUUUAUGUUUCCCAUUUGGAUUUUUAGAUUUAGGCCAAGACGAAUUAAGUAGAGAUUCACGAGUUAUGGAAUCAAAUGAAGCCAAGUCAGCAGAUCUAGGAUUUUUUUUUUUUAAAUCAUACGUACUGUGUUUCUGUGCUGAAGAUCGGAGGGAAGUGGAUUUAAUCUUUCAGUUAACUAAGGACCAGGUAGCUUUCAAAACCCUAAAGUGUUUAGAGUCAGAACUACUGAGGCUCAUUUCAAUCUAGUCAUUCAGAAUGUUAUUUUGGUUUUUGAAAAUGUCUUGCUUUAUAAACUUUGAAAUUGUUUUAAAGGGGGGGAGGGUGCAGACCGGCCAUUUUCACUGUGUCGUCAACUGGGAAACUCUCUGAAGAUCAUGUAAUGAGAGCUGUUGCUAUUGUGUUUGAUUUACUUGAAGUUGUGAAAAAGAAUACAGCAGUUGUACCAACUGCGUUAUGCUGGCGCGUGCAACGUGACUGUCACAUGUGCUGUUUGAUGCGAUGUCUCUUUAACUGGGGAUGAGAUGGCACCUGUGUCUUGAGAAAAGGAGUGGGUGGUAACUUGUGAAUGUGAUCAUACUGGCAACCCCCCCCCCCCCCGAUUUUUGGAGAAGCUGCUGGGGUGGUCAUAAUUAGUUGCCUGUUCCCAGGCCCACACCUCCACCACCCAAGCCGAGUUAAAAACACACAGAGUGAGGGUCCCUGACUGACUUCUUGUGGUGAAUCUCCGGUCUCAGUGGGACUCAACACCUCUACUGAGAAGUCCCUCAGAAGCUCCUUGGGUAGAGUUGGAGAGCUAGGAGGCUCACCAAAGAGGCAGACAGGAAACUGCUGGCAAUCAAAUGAAGUGAGAUGAGAGCUCAUGGGUUAUCUUGGUGAUAUGAGCCCUCGAUGGUUAAAAUGAUAUAGGUCUGUGAAGUUGGUGGGCCUUGCAAUUGCAGACUUACGGUGAUAAUUUUUCUGCAAAUUCCAGAAGGAUAUUUACACUCGGGGAGGGAUCAUGCAUUUUCUCAUUUUCACAAAGCGUUUGGCAUGAAGCUCAUGGCGAUGAAAUCUUGGAGAUUUUGGUGAUGUUCAUUAAAAGGAACCCUCCCCCCAUUAUUUUAAAGCAUUUCAAGUAUUUAGUGGUAUUUAAUGCCUGUGUGGUGUGAGGAAUCUUCUACCUAAAAUGUGGGUCAACUAAUAAAGCAGUCAUAGCCUAUUGUUUUAGAGAUUAACACCCCCCCCCCAACACACACACACACACACACACACACACUCUCUCUCUCUCUCUCUCUCUCUCUCUCUCUCUCUCUCUGAAAGUGCUUCUGGGUUUUAAAACUUGUAGAGAACUUGUUGAGCCAGAUAGAGAAAUAUACCUUUUUUUUUAAAUAGUUGCUCGUUUUUGUUUUUUGUUGUUGUUUUUGUUUGUUUUGUUUUGUUUUGUUUUUUACGGGCUGCAUUUUGGAUAAGGAACAGUUGAAGAUUUCUGUGGAAAGGCUAACAGGUCAACAGAUGAACUUUUCCAAUUAAGUUAGAGCUCUGGGAACAGAAAAUCGCUUCCCAGACUGUUCAUGUUUUACCCAUGAGUGCAGGGUGGACUGAAUUGUGGUUUGUUCCAUAGAAAGACUAGAUGCUUCUCUCUUCAGACAUUAGUGUAAUAAUCUCCCUGGUAUUUAUACAUAAUGUCUAUAAAUAUUGAAAAUGACCCUUUCCCCCUUUAAGCUAGUACUCUGUCUUAGGUCUCUGUAGCCUUUUGUCCUGAUUUCUUCCAGUGUAUCCAUUUUAGUGUGUGUAUGUGUGUGUGUCUGUGUGCACGCCUAUGUACCUUAGCUCAGUGCCAUUUUGAAAUGUCAGCAAGUGAAAGGUAUGUAUGUAUGUAUUGAACUGUUGACAUCCAUGAAUCAGUCAUUCAUCGCUUUAGGAAAGAUUUGCGGGCUGAGCCAAUGUCAGUAGGUCCAGAGAACCUCUUGUCUCUUUUCUGUUGUCUGUGCCGUAGCCUCUUACAUGUUAAAAUGUAUCCAUGUUAGGUAUGUUUUAUUGAGAGACCCUGCAGUUUGCACAAUUCCAGAAGCCAUUCAGCUUUAACCACAAGGCUAUGUCAAUUUUUUUUUUUAGAGUCCAACUGAAGUGAGUUACAAUCUUUGGUUUUUAAUACCUCACAGCUGUUUGUAAUGUUUCUGAGAUCAAAAACACUUUAACCGGAAGGCAGCCUCUCUCCUUUGGCCUGCCCACACUUCUCUCUUCCUCCUUCCCUCUGUCCCCCGCAGCACGCAGCACGGUUUGUGUCACUGACAUCAGUGAUGGUAGACUUUCUUAGAUGGUGUCAGGAGCUGGGGGACCAUUUGUAUUUGAGUGGGAGCAGCCCGGGUGACUUGAAUUUGCAUUACAAACAAUUGCCCGGUUUAUUGCAUCUGCUGCUUGUGAGAACUGGGGAGAAACAUCUGUGGGAGGGUGAGGCACCAACAGGGCCCCUCUCUCCUUUCUGUGACUAACCGCUGUCCUGAGAUUCCAGCUGUGGCCAAGUGGCACACAUAGGGAGGCCUCUUCUGAGAUCUCCCCAUAACCAUAUGCUGUUGCUCCAGUUUAAAGUCAGGCCAGGUAUCAUGGUGCCCAUCAAGACCCAUCCAUCCAUCCAUCUUCUUCCCUUCUGCCAGGACAUUUCAGUUGGGACCUCCUUUUAGGAACUGGAACCUUUGGGUUGGGGAUUUAGCUCAGUGGUAGAGCGCUUGCUAGGUUCGGUCCCCAGCUCCGAAGAAAAGAAAAAAAAAAAAAAAAAAGAACUGGAACCUUUAAGGGAGUGUGAGUAUCUGUACCAGGUCUCUCAUGAACGAGUCUCUCCUGGAAUCUCAAAUCCGAGUUUUUAGUUCAAACAAAUGAGAAGGCAGCUAGGACGACCUGCUUGGUGCCAGUGUGAGCUCUUCAAGCACACAGGAUGAGACGAUGUGCAAGCCUGUUAAUAUUUCAGAGCCAGGACCCCAGGAAAAUUUAUUGAAAACAUAUAACCAAACCUUUCUUUCUCUGAAGCUUAUGUCUGAAAAUCAGACCAAUGCUGAGGUAUUAGAACAACAACAAAACCCCCAGGGCCUUUGUGUCCCAAGCUUAGGGUAGAGCUGAGCGUUCAGGCACAGUGUGAAUGAGCCCUGAACUCAGGUGCUUUCACAUAGGGAAGUUCCCUGUGGGGUGAGAUUAUCCUUGUAGUUAAUCACCCUGGGCUGCAGCAAACUUCCAUUUGUCCCUCCUGCAGCCCAAAUGGUUAACACCUUACAAGAGAAGCCUUCCAUAUCUCUUCUGAUGCCUGGGGAGGGAGAGCCAGGAAGCUGCCCCUGGCCCCUGACCACAGUAGCUCUGAAUCAUGAGAACUUCAAACUUUCUGGAUCUCUAUGAUCUUCCUCACAGAGACCUUGCGGGUAGGAAAGGGAAGAUGUCUACUGGCCUCAUUUCAGCUGCCUUGUAAAUCCUUAGUUUUAAAGUGAGAAUAGCUGUGGAAAUGUUACAGGCUUUUAGUUAUUCAGUCUUUGUGGAAAUGUUAUAGUUUUUCAGUCUGAGUUAUUUAGAAUAGUUCGAUUGUGUUGACCGAUGCUUCUAGGGAAUACACGUUUGUACUGCUGGUGAACAGAACUAUCUAUGUCUAGGAGAUCUCCCACCCCUGAUUUUGCAUUAAGUCUACAAACAACUAAGAUUUGGGUUUCCGUCAGUGUUCACUUCUGGGACAAAGGAACUGAGGUAGAUUUGCCUCAGCAUGCAAAGCUUCUGAAUGCCAAUAUGCCAGUGCUGUAUGGCUUUGAAACAAACGGUAAAAAAUGAAAUAAAAUAAAAUAAAAGUAGCUCAGGGGUAGUAUGCCUGUGGCUUGUUCCUUGUGUGAAGACUCUGGGGGGAGGCACUUUGUGCUGCAAGGGGCUACCUGGUUUGACUUCCUGAUGAAUUAAUGUUAAUUUUCUGAUUCCAGAUGUUUCAUUUCUCGCAGCUAAGUAUGCUGGCUUUCCCCGCUUUACCCCCAAGCACAGGAUAUAUUUUUCCAGUGUAUUUUGUGUAAUACUUGCUAUCAGGAGGAGAAGGUGUGGGAAAUUCCUCCUCAGAGUCCCUGGGUAUUCUGUCUGGUCCUUCCUCACUUCACUACUGCAAAGCAAGGGGAGACUCAUGAUUGACCAGAGUUUGGAGCACUUCCCAUUCCUCCCCCCAGACAUCCCCAGUUUCCAGGGAUUUUGCUUAUGGAGUGUGCCAGGAAGCCAGGCUCCACAGGGCCCUUUCAGGAGUUGAUGCUGUCGUGUACUAAGCACUGGUCCUCCCUGAUCAUGUCCUCUCAAUUGACCCUAGCAGUUUCUGUUUUGUUUUUUGUUUUUUGUUUUUUUUUUUUUUUUGUUUGCUUGUUUCAGAAAGACAUGAGAGCAACCUCACACACAGUAAUUUCACAAACCCAAGACCACUACCUCAAACUGGGAACAAAUCUUUUGAUGUUGUUUGUCUGGUUUGGUUUUUUUUGAGUCAGGGUGUUUUGAGUCGAACUCACAGAAAUACAACUACCUCUGCUACCCCAGUGCUGGGAUUAAAGGCAUGACAGGCCAGCGGAAUCCUGGCGUUUUAAAGUGUCUCUACAGCCCCACAGGUCUUGGCUCUCUUUUUGCCAGCCUCCUUGUUGUGGCUCAGUCUUUAGUACACACGUUAGGAUGAUCGGCAGAGCUGGACUCUGACAGGCACGCCAGCUGAGAAUAUCCGAGACUGUAGAGUUUAACUCUUUGGAUUUAUUUAGUGAAGUUUUUAAGCAGUCAGGUCCCCUCCCAUUUUCUUUCCUUCCUGAGUCCUUUGUUCUCCAUUUACAUAUAUAUUAUGGGCAAGAUCAGGAUUUUACAAAUUGGUUUCCCUUUGAUUUUGGAGAAUAACUUGGGAGUUUAAAAAUAAAACAUUCCAGUUCUGUCCGUGGCGGGGAGCAGAAGCACGCACACAUUAAUUCCAGGUACAUGUAGCACUCGGCAGCUAGCGUGUAACACAAGUUGCUGUCACAGGACUGGAGUGGCUUUCCAAUGGAGGUGUCCAUUUAAAAAGCUGUUCUCUAAAGCCAGUAGAUAAGCAGCUGCAACAAGCUGGUCCAGUCUGUGGGAAGUCAGACCCGGAUGGUCGAGAACCAGCUCUGCUCAUGCUGCUCCAGGAGGCCUGCUUCGUUUGUAGCUCAUUUGACCGAGUGCUUGCCUAGCACUGUAAGAAACCCCAUGUGGAAUUAAGUAAAGCUGGGCGGGAGGGCAGGGACAAGGACAACACGCAGGUUUUCGUUGAAAUAACUGUUUACAAAUAUACCAUUGGAACCAAAUUUGGUGGCACACAACCUUGGAGUCAUGGCUGCUUAGAAGGCUGAAGCAGGAAGAUUGAGUUUAGCAGCUGAAGGCCAGCCUGAGUCAGCAGAGCAAGGUGUGUGUGUGUGUGUGUGUGUACGCACAUACAUUAACUCAUGUUUGUCUUUUAAAUACUGAAACUUAGAUUAUUUUUAAAUUUAACUUUAUUCAUGUUUACGUGUGGUCUGCUUAGUGCAUAGCAAUGGAUUCCAGUGUGUGCUCGCCACGAUGGGUGUUAAUGUGCAGAGGUCAGAGGACAACAACUUUGGGAGGUUACUUGUUCUGUCCUUCCACUGUGGAUCCCAGGGGUUGAACUCGGGUCACUGGGUCUGCACAGCAAGUGCCUCUACCUGCUGAACCAUCUCACCUGGUCCUAUCAUGGUUUUUCUUCCCCUCAUAACCCUGCAAAUCAUUUUAAAGAUGUAAAUAAUCCAAUAUGUAAAAACUGGAGGCCUGAAGCCCAAAAACGAGUUAAAGCCCAACAGCAAAUGCUGGAAAUGAAUAGGUGUGGAGAACCAGGCAGGGCUCCCAAUCAGAGGGCCAUGUGGCAAGUAGAGACCGCUAACUCAACCUCUCGCAACUCCGCUGUGUGUGCUUCAAACCGUUAGCCGAUGUGAUAGGGGAGAGCACGCAGUUACAUGCAAGUAUCUACUUUGGCCAAGCCAAGCCCACUGGAAUCAUGAACUUGCUGUGUGUACCAUCCCAAAGCUUAAUAGGGAAUGAUAGUCUCCCAGGGAGCUUCUCUGAGAGAGGUUCUCUGAGGCUCACAAAGCAGAAAGAAUGUGUGUUGACUCUCCCACUUCCCAGUACUAGUAGGGAAGCUGCACCACAGAAAGUCUAAAAAUAGACAUUUUCAUUUUUUCUUUUUCUCUUUCUCUUUUCUUUUCUUUUUUUCUUUUUUUUUUCUUUUUUUUUUUUUGGCAACUGUCUAUGGGCAGUGAGUCUCUUGAAGCUCUAUUAGUGGUCAUUGUGACUUCUUCUGCCCACCAGUAAUCCUAUAUGGCACCCGAUGACAGUUUUCCUGAAGUCACAUUUUGAUCUCCAUCAGUAAUGAAUUACUGGGAUGAUUUAAAGUUCUGUUCAGUAGAAAUGAUUAGCCAGGCCUAAUGGCAAAGAUCUGUAAUUCAAGUUACUCAGGGGGCUGAGGCAGGAAACUUGCAAGUUUCAGGACAGUUUCAGGAAAGAAAUCUGUAAGAUCCUGUCCCAAGAAAGAAGGGAGAAGAGGGCUAUGGAUGGUCCAAGGUAGAUGCUGAAGUCCAGGAUGGCAAUAGGAGUGAAUGGAGAAGCCUGUUGCUAUGCAACACUGAGGAAGAUGGAAUGAAGAGGCUGAUGUAGGGAGGCUCUGUGAUGAGAAGAGGAUCCCCUCUAGGGAUUCUCCACUUGGAAUAAAAAUUACUGUCAGCCUCCGAACCAAACAAAAAACUUUAAAUCUGCUCUGAUUUUUAACUUUUAAACGCUAAAAAAUUGUAACUUUUAUUAAAUGUAAGCAUGUGUGUCUGCAUGCAGGUAUGUACACAUGAGACCAGAGGCAUCAGGCCCCCUGCAAAUGUAGUCACAGAUGGUUUUGAGCCACCUGAUCUAUACGUUCUAGGACUAGAAGUUGGAUCCUCUGGAACAGGAAGUUCUCGCCAUCUCCCUGUCCCCUAGUCUGAUAAGCUUUGUCAUACUCACUGUCAGCAGUGACGGGAGCUGGCCACUUGGUCCUGAGCUUAUCCGGGACUGAGAUGGUCACAUCAGCUUAGAGCAGAAGGGACGCCUCCAGUCAACUCGCCUAAUCAAUAAAGUGCCAAUGGGGCUGUACAUGUCCUUGUAUCUGCUUUUAUUCUUCUAAUAUGUUUGCUUUCUAGCAAACCAUUUCUUUUUAUGAAAUAUAGAAUCUGAAAGUAUCUGCUAGGUAACCCUGUCCUGUAGUAUUUUUUUUAUUCUCUUAUUUGUUAAGGGCCAUUAGACUAUGGUGCUUAAUGAACAUCCCAGGACGCUCUGUGUUCGGUAACAGCUAAAAACAGCUCAUGGGAAGAACAGAAAGGAGGGGACUGGAGCCUUGGGAGGAUUCUUGUCUCUCACCUAGAUCCUUGAAACCUAGGACAAAAUACAGAUGAUAGAAACAUGGUCACUUUUUCUCUUCACAAGUAUAUUCGAGAUGAAAAUAUAGCUGUGUAAAACAGAAAACAUCCAAAAACCAAAAACUAAGUAUCUUCUAGCAUUGUGUCACUAAUGCUCUGCCGUUCACCCGACUUCCAGCCAGAAAGGUUUUCACUAACAAGUCGGGCGUUUCUAGAUAUUAGAAGUGUUGGAUAAUCGUGGCCCUGAUGCAGCCUGGAUGUGUGCUAUGCAAUGAUGGACUGUUUGGUGAGGUUGAGGGCAUGAGGAUAGUGUUGAUGGAGGGAGGUCUUGGGGUAGAUGUCAGAAGACCUGAGGCCUAGCCCAAAGUCUGUUGUCCCCUUCUGGAAGUAUUUCUCCUUCCCUCCUUUAUAAAAUGGCACCUUCCUGUGUGGCUGACCUUUCUGUGCCCAUGUGGGGCUCUCUGGUAGCACAAAACCUGGGCAAGUGCUGUUUCCUAACCGUGGCAGUAGACUAGGAGUCUAGAAUGGUGUGAGCCGGUGCCCAGAUUCCCUUCUGGUAGGACUUCUGCAGCAGUGACAGGUAUGUGACUGGACCCUAGAGCUCGGGAGGAAGGAAGGACACAUGGUUGAUUCUUCCCGUGCCGAGGUACUGGCUCAGAAUCUAGACCCUAGGCCUUAUCCUAACCUCUGGAAAAUACUUACAUUACUAAGUUUUAGGGAUUCAAUGGCAUCCUUGUCUCUUCGUGGUGUUUUAAUUGGGCUCCCUUUCUCUCCUGGAUGUUGGGAGAACCCCAUUCUCACCUCUAACACCCCUCUCCCCUCUAAGGAAACAAGAUAGGUAAGGCAAUAAUAGGCUUCCAGAUUUUUGCUAAAGUCUCAUAGCCGUCCAACAUUUGAUAGGGAGUUAUCAAAUAACCUGUGCUUCCUUGCAAUAUUCUGACUUAGAAGAGGUUUCCCCCUUAACCCUUUAGGUUCUGGAUUUCUUUCCCGUUACAUGGAGAGGAGCUUGAGACCAUAAGAAUGUGAGGACAAGACCAAGUUACAUUUUUCUCAUUACAUUACAUUUUCUUCUGACUGAAGUCUUUCUUUUUUUUUUGUUCUUUUUUUCGGAGCUGGGGAUCGAACCCAGGGCCUUGCGCUUCCUAGGCAAGUGCUCUACCGCUGAGCUAAAUCCCCAACCCCGACUGAAGUCUUUCUAUCUCAGUUGGUACCAAAAAAGAUCAGGCCCAAGGGACAGGUUAGCUGGGGGGGGGGGGGGGGGGGGGGUGGGGAGUCUGUGGGAAAUUCCAGUUUCUCUAAUGUCUCUUGCAGUAAGGUAGUUUCUAACGUUGAUCACCCUGCCCUUGUAGACUUAGUUCCAAUGACUUGGAUCAUAGAAAAGACACUGGGAGAUGAGGGUUUGGCUUGAUGUUAGACACAGCAAGGGCCCGACUUCCAACCAGUACUGAAGGAAGAUUUUAAAAGAAAAGGAAAGCAAAGGGCACUGUAAUUUUAUUUUAUCCUUGAUGUACUAGGCUUUACAUUUAGAUUAUUAAAGUCUGAGACCCAAAAAAGAAAAAAAACCCAAAAAAACCCAAAAACAAAAACAAAAACAAAACCCCCAAAAGUACCAAAAGCAAAGAAGGAAAACCCUGGUUGCCACCUACCACCAUUCGGUGAGCCAGUCAGCCUGCCCGCAGGAUUAUGGAAGAAACUGAUUCUCUCAAACACUGCUCCCUGUGUUUGCACGGUCGUUUUUAUGAAUAUAUUAAAAAUCCAUAGCCUAAUAUUUACCUUUUUCAGCUUUAGGUUAAUAUAUCACUAUUUCAUACUUUAAAGUGGAAAUGGAAAACAAUUAUAUGUUAAAAAAUACUGCCUCGUACCUUAGCUCACUGUUCCCAUGAGUGCUGUGUGAAGUCAAGCCUGACCCAAGGAGGCAAGGAGCCCACUCUAGGUCAGUAGACUGUACAGGGUUUCCUUUUGUACGUAUAGAUCACAAAUUGUACAGUCAGGGUCUUUCUUAGGUAUAGACUUGUUUAUUGUCAUUAAAAAUACAUUUGUGUCAAAGAAUUAAAAAAAAAGUGGUAUCAGACCAAGCUACUUGGUUUGAUUCGAAAUGCCUUUUUAAAAUACUUGUUUUGUGAAGAUGAAAGAAACGUUUUUAACUAAAAAGCCUUCCUGUGUAGCCCUUGAGACUUCUUUGCACACACAUUAAAGCAAUGAGGCUUGGGCUCCCUAAAUCCAUGUCAGGCCCUUCACCUACAAACUCAAGUUGUCAUCAUUCAACCCUGAUAAACCCCAGGCAGAGGGUGCUGACAGGUGUUUACCUGCAGACUGUAUGGGGUUCUCCCAUGAUGCCUUGCUCUCCUGACCCCAGAGCAAACCCCAGUGUCAUUUGGAAGUUUUCUUGCAGUCCAGAACAGCUGCCUCUUAGACCUCACCUCCUUGCCCCUGUCCUACAGCUACUUUCUCAGGCGUGUACCCUAAACCUUGCUCCAGAUCCUUGUGUCUGGGUUCGUGUGGCUCUAUGUCCCUGGAAUAGCCAGCUCAUCUUGUCCAUACUUAAAGGUCCAGGGUAAAGGUGACUCCUUCAUGAAGCAUGUGACUGGUUCCCUUCCAACUAGGAGGGUCUGGCUCUCCUGUGCAGUGCUAUUGAAUCUUCCUGGCUCUUUAUACAUUUUAAAAAUGAGGGUUUUUAAAAAAAAAUCUUGUGCAUGUUUGAGUGUCUGUGUUAUGUAUGUGUGCAUGUGUGGUUAUGUGUAUAUCUGUAUGCAUGUGUAUGUUUGUGUGUUUUUGUGAGAACAUGUUAUACAUGCAUACAUGAGUGUGUGUGUAGUUAUGUGUAUGUGUGUAAGUAUGUUAAUAUGUGUGUAUUAUGUGUGUAUUUGUGUGUAGGAACAUUUACAGAUGCGCGCGCGCGCGCGCGUGUGUGUGUGUGUGUGUGUGUGUGUGUGUGUGUGUGUGCGUGCACGUGUGUUAGUACCUGAAGACACCAGAGGUGCUGAAGCCUAGAAAUGAAGUUGUAGGCAAUAGUAAGUCACCCAACAUGGGUGCUGGGAACUGAACUCACACUGCAAAAGCAUUAAGUACUUGUAACCUCUGAGCCCCUGUGCAUAUGUUUUGGAUGAGUUAGGUAUCUCCAUGUUGAUUUUUUUUUUUAACUGGGAAUCCCUUUGAGGAUAGAGAGUGCGUUUUAAUUUUCUGUUACCCACAAGUUUUUAUACUGCAUGCCAUGGUCCAGGUUACUCGCCAGAUGUUUAAUGGAAUAGGUUAGGAAUUUUAAACUUCAGGAGUAAAAGGUGCCAAUACCAGGUAUCAGUCCACCUUUAAAUGAGAACUCUUAGAAAGUGUAUAGACUUUUGCUAUAUAUAAAGCUAAGAUUGGGUUUAGAAAUUUUCAUACCAUUAGGCAAUGUUCACGAAAUGGAUGUUAACACCAUUGGUUUUGAGUAUGUGGUCCAUGUCAGAACUGUUGUGCAUCCUAUCCACAUGAGGUCAUGUCACCCUCAAGGCAAGUCAGUGCUGGCCUCAGCAUCCACCCAAGGCAGCCCAUGAAGGAGCCGAGACGCAGAGGGAGAAAGUCAAGAACGGAAGAUCGCAGCUGGCCCGUAGAUGGACUGUGAAUGGGACAAAUGGGAUGUAGGCUCGGCUCUCACUGCUGACUGUUCUCUCCCUGUCUUACUCUCAUCGCCGCCGGUACCCAGAAGAUGCUGGAGGAGAUUGAAGUCAGCAGAUCUGUCACUAGAAAUGAUUCAUAGAGAGGUGUGUGAUGAGAGAUUGGAUGCUAUGUGAAAGUGGGACCUUUCCCACAUUCCCUUUGGUGGACAAGAAGCCGGGGAGAGGAGAUGGGGGAGACUGGGGAGUGUUCUAGUUUGAAGGCCAAGAGGGGUGUUAACUACAUAGUGGCUUUAGAAGGAGGAGUAGGUUUGUGGGACGUUUAUUCAUGAGUUUUACUUAGGUGUUUUCUAUAUCUUCAUUUUCAUGUCAAGCAAACAAGACAGCAGCCACAAAACUGAGAUCUAGAACCAAGCUAUCUGUUAUGAGCAUCCUUUUUCGUCCAUCGUUCAGUAUAAGCUAGUGGUGCCUCACAAGUUGCCUCUCUUUACCCGUGAGCUUCCUGGUCCUCGACCAUUGAUGUGUGACCGUGAGAAAUAAACACUCUGUCCAUGGAUGAAGCGAGGAGUACAAUUGGUAGGAUAGUACAUUUACUGCUGGCUAACCCAUGCACGUUGCACAUGCUUUGUGUCAGACUCUCACUACCAAACUCAGGACCUUGGAAUGGUGCUCUCAUGUUUCCCACGAAGGACCCGUGGCUAGAGAGGUCGCUCAGUUGUCUUGUCUGCAGAGCUAAAGUUGAGCAAACAGGAAAGCUUGGAUUUGAGGACAGGUGUCUCUGCCCCUAGUGACAGGACCCAGCCCAUAAGCUAAUGUUCCACACAAAAGGACCCUGUGAGGAAUUCCACCGCCAGGAAACUACCUGGAGCCCUGAGGAUGACUGUUAAUUAUGCUUUGGGAUAAUGUAAAUGGCUAGGCUUCAGGGAUGGCUUAAAUGGGAGAUGCUAAGAAUGUUUGAAAAUUGUCAUCUGGUCCAUUGGACAGAGAACCAUGCCAUUGCUCAGUACGGUUUUGAAAAUUCCCAGGGAACAUUGACAGCCUGAGUGUUUCACAUCCACUUUUCUUUUGCUUGUUAUUUUAAAGGGGGCCUUUAUUGUUCACUUCUAAAAUGGCCCCCCCAGUGUUAAGACUAAGUAAGCUAAUUAAAUAGCUGUGUGAUAGGACAUUUUCCAGUGCUUGGAUCCUUCGGUAAAUGAUAGACCCCUUUUCCCCCAUAGGAGCCAGGCAUUUACACACAAACCUCUGGUAAAGAGUGGUUUUCUUUUUGCACAGCCAGCGUUUGUGUUGUAGGAUGUCCUUCACGUUCAGCGGUUACUGUGGGUUUUCUGACGUCAUCACGCCACGUUAAAGGAAAGAAAGAGAAUCUAAUUUCAUAGCAGUGGGAGUCAUGGUUGCUCCUGAGGCACUGCAGCAGUGAUUAAGAAGUGAAGAGACAGGGCUGCAGAGUGGUUAGGAGCACAGUCUGCUCUUCCAGAGGUCCUGAGUUCAAUUCCCAGCAGACACAUGGCGGCUCACAACCACCUGAAAUGGGAUCUGAUGCCCUCUUCUGGUGUGGCUGAAGACAGCUACAGUGUACUCAUAUACAUAAAAUAAAUAUUUAAAAAAAGAAGUGAAGAAACCUUUUUAAAGGGGGUAUUGAUUGGGACCAGUCUUUUUCUCUCUUAAAAGGAAAUUUCCUCUUCUUCCUUCUUUUCCUCCUCUUCUGCUUCUCCCUCUCCUCCACUUUCCCCUCCCUCCUCUCCUUCAACCUCUUCCCUCCCCAUAUAUAUACAUGAAUAUGACAUACACACACAUGUAUGUAUAUAUAGUCAGGGGAAUCCCAUAACAGAACAGAAAAAUAAAGAAAAAGUCCCUAGAUUUCUGCCUUUCAGACAUAAGAGUUUCACUUACUUGUACUUGUGUCUUAGUAGCUGCUCACGAACUCAGAAUUAUUCUCUACUGAUCAUUUUGUUUUUAUUCAAAAUUCCACAUGUAUUUUCCUAUGUGAAUAAAUAUAGACCUAUAUCUCAGCUCUACGUGCUGACUGUCACCUAGUUAUGACUAUUUUUAUCUUCCGUUUUGGCUCUCAGGGGGUUUCAUUAGUUUUAACUAAUGCCUCAAUAAAGCCAUGUCCAAAAUAAAUUUAGAACCUAUUUUUGUCCAAGUCGGUUACUAUUUCCUAUCUUUCUUGAUUUAGUAACCAUUAACAAUGUAAAUUAAUUGCUAGUUUUAUUUGUUUUCGUCUUAAGGUGGGGUCUUUUUAUGUGCAUAACCCUGGCUGGCCCAGAUUUAUAAUCUCCCUGAGAUAUUGGCACUCUACAGGGCUUCCCACCUCUUGAUUCCCUCAAGUGCUCUGAAUAAAUGAUUCAAAGCUACUUCAUGCAAAAUGUAUGCUCUCUCUCCAUUUCUCGACUGUUGCACGAUUGAGGUCCACCGUACUAUGCAGACAGCUAGGUCCUCACCAAGAGAAAUGCCCCCCAUCCUGUGAUUGGCUCAUCACCCUUUACAUCUUAGGAGAGCUGGGCUGGGAAAGGACCUCUGACCUUGGGAGGUUGGGACAGUAACUGGAAACACCAGAGUCAACCCAGCAGUUUAGGGUCGGGCAGGUUUUCUGGCGGAAAGAAGACAGGCACCAAAGAAUGUUGCGUUUUAAGAACAUUCAUCUUUCACCCCAUGCUCACGGGAGGACCUUUUCUUGGCCCCUCGAGGGGCCCCCAGUUCAGCACAGAGCAGACAGGAACUAGUGUGUAUCUUGGAUGGAUCUGGAGAGGCAGCAGGGAGCAGAGACACGCCCGUGGCCCUUGCAUAUGGCAGCCUGCUACCACAGGCUUGUGGUACUGAUGGUGUGUGUUGCUCUUUACCCGGAGUCGGGCCAGCAUGAUUAAUUGAUUAUGGUCACAAAUAUUUGAUUCGUUUUGUUGAAAUGAUUUUAUAGAUAAUGAACUUUAGGCUCAACUAGGAAAGCAGAUUGGUAUUUGCUAUUGUAGUCGUUGUUGUUGUUGUUACUAAAAGGACAUGCGUGGGGGUGGGGUGGGGGGUGGAGAGCUAGCUUAGCAGUUACAAGCAAUGCUGUUCUUACAGAGGGCCUGAGUUGGAGUCCCAGCACCACAUGGACCCUUACAACCAAUCCAGCUCCAGUUUCAAAAGAUCUACUGUCCUCUUCUGGCCUUUGGGCACCAGGCAUGUGCGUGGUGACGUAUGAGCAAAGCACCCAUACACGUUAUGUACAUGUAUAUUAAAGGACAUACAUCUUAACCAAGAUGACUUAAGAAAAUAGCUCAGAGGUCUUUAUGGAGCCUUCGAACACGUUUAUCACUGCAAGUUAACUGGAACCCACAACUGGUUUUUCUGAUGGUGCCUUGUGGUGGUACCCAACCCCACUGGCUAGAGCUGAGUGUUCAGAACCUCGGGAGGGAAAACAGCUGUCACUUCCUCAUCUUAUGACUUGCCUGGGCACUCAACACCAAACCCCAAACCAGCUCAAGCCACCUGUCAGUUGUUCUAUGCACACGCAUAUAAGCUGUUUGUUUCCAUUCCUACCCACGGAUUAAAAAAAAAAAAUGUUUGCCAUCCUAAAGAGGGUUGGGAAUAUAAGAAAAAUUACUGCUUAAAAACAGUAUAGCUUAGUUACUGUUGAUUUAAAAAAAAUAAAGAAAGAAAGAAAGAAAAGAAAAGAAAAGAAAAGAAAAAAGAAAGACUUGGACUUGGUCAGGAUCCAUGUCAAAAAAUCACAGUAGUUCUGGGAAUCAAGUGGCAGCCUUGGCCUUUGAACUAGACAGAGGCCUGAAGGUGUUUGAUCCUAUGUCUUCCAUACUGUUUAAUGAACAACAGGAAGUCGGGAUGGAGAGAUGACUCCACAGCCAGGAGCACUCAUUGCUCUCACAGAGGACCUGUGUUGGGUUCCUAGCACCACAUGGCAGCUUACAACUCUCUCUGACUAAGGUUCCAGAGAACCUGAUGCCUUCUCCCGGCCUCCAUGGGCAUCAGGCAGGCACAUGGUACCCAGAUAUGCACGCAGGCAAAAACACUCAUAAAAUAAAAAAAAAAAAUGUUAGAAAUAAAAAACGGCGUGCAGCUAACCGCAAAGUUGAACGAUGCAAGUUUGAAUUGAUCAGGCCCCACGAGGGCCUUAUCUAUCCAACUGUAGUAAUGACGGAUUCGGUGUUUCAAAAGAAAACCUCUCUUAACCUGUCUGGGACUCUAGAAACAGCAGCUGCUCCUGGAAUGGCGGAGGAACUGUGGCAUUCAUGGUGCUAAUGAUGAGACAGGUCUUAUCUGGGCUGCUUGUGCUCAUUCUUGUUGGCUAUUUUAGCAGUCCUCACAUGAACUCAGUGACAACUAUGCAGUGUGAAACUUGAAAAUAACAGCUGCUUAAGAAAGUCAUUCACAGGCUUUUUAAACCUCUCCAAAGAAACAAGAGUGGGGUAGGGCUGGACGCUGUCUUUUUGGGGGUUUUUUGUUUUGUUUUUUUCUUUUUAAUUUUUAUUUCAUGCUCAUUGGUGUUUUACCUGCAUGUAUAUAUGCCUGUGUGAGGGUGUCAGAUCCUUUGGAACUGGAGUUACAGACAGUUGUGAGCUGCCAUAUGGGUGCUGGGAAUUGAGCCCAGGUCCUCUAGAAGAGCCAUUUCUCUUACCCUCAGAGCCAUCUCUCCAGCACCCGCUGUGUGUCUUAAAUGACUACUCUCUUCGAGCAGUUUUCUUAUCUGGAAAGGGGUCCCAGCAAAGGGCUGUUUGUUACCUGGACUAAGGCAGGCAGUCUAGCCUGACUGCUUUCCGGUUUAAAAGCCCCCUGAAUUUCUGGGUACCCAAUAUUUGAACCAGCUCACAGAAGGAAACCCAUCUGUUUUGUUUCCCCCACCCCCAUCAUGUCAUUUCAUCCGUGUUUAGUGAGAUGAAGGUUUCCUAUGCUCUGGAGGGGAAACCCAAACUAGGCUGGGUGGAGUACAGCAGGGGUGCGUGGAGCGGGGUACGGACCAUCUGCAUUAGUGGCAAGUCUUCAGAGAGAAGUGCAGGGGAGACACCAUCUAACGCUGGAUGGAAAGGUUUUCUGCUCCCUCUCCCUGCCCACCUCUGGCAGGGGCUGGAACUCCCACACCUUGCCCUGGGCUUGGCUUACUUACACUUUGGUGUUUUGCUGUGACAGUUAUCUCCAUCCGGGGGGAGUGAGCCACAUGGUACUUUUACUCUUGGAGAACGAGUCCAGGAGUUUUCCCUUGUGGCUCUCCCUUAUUUUUAUUUUUAAAUUUAAUCAAUUUAUUUAUUUUUAAUGAGAAGACAAGGAAUUUCUUUACUUAGUUGGUCGGAUCAGUAGUUUUUUAAAUUGCUUCACUGUUUACUGAGUUGCCCCCACGACAAAGGUUCUACCCAUUCAUAGUACACCAUUUGUGGGGUGGGGCCGGGAGGCAAGGGUGUUAGUAUAUUCAGGGUUUCAAAGCCAUCAACACAGUCAGUUACAUUCUCACCACUUCAGAAAAUAACCUGUGCUCCCCCCCAACAUCCCACCCAACCCCAACGCUGCCUCCCUCAAGCACCCACCCCAGGCCUGAGCUCUGAUCCAUUUUUUUUGUAUCAAAAGACUGCCCUGCUUGGGACAUACCACAAAAUAGAAUCACAGACAAACAUAGUGUGCAAAUCUGUUGUGAUUUUGCCCCUCCCCCAACCCAAAACAGGGUCUUGCUGUGUAAUCCAGGCUGGUUCAAACUCCCAAUCCUCCUGCCUCAACCUCCCAAGUGCCGGAACUCUGGGCCUUGACUGACUCUGGCCAGUUAACAUGUUGUCUGGAGGGAGGCUGAGUGCUGUUCUAACAGCCUGCGCUUUCUCUCCCAUCUGGCCUCUGAGGGCUGCACCGUAGUCCGGAAGGUGAGGUCUAAGGGGUGGAGAUGUGCAUGGGUUAGUCAGUGUGGGGAGAAGAAAAGCCGAAGUUGCUGGUUCAGACGCCUACACUUGUGGCCGGAGUAUUUUUGAUGGCAGGUCUUUUAUCAAUUUUUAAAAGUCGGACUCUGUAUUCUUACUUAUGAGGAGCAUACGUUAGACUGUGUGAUUAUUGUUUAAUCAGAUCACAGCAUACACCUAUGGCCAUGUGAGUGAUAGAAAGCGGAAAAAAACUCUUAUUUUCCAUAAACAUGCCGUUUUCCUUUUUUUCUUUUUCGCUUCCUUGCCAAUUCCAUGAUUUUACUGUGAAUGCCAGUCUCGAUAAGGAGUCGACAUCAAAAGAACUGUCACCCUUGCCUCUUUCUUGAUGUUGGGCUUGGCUGCUAACCCCACCCCCACUUCAGCCCAUAACUUGGUCAUCUGCGGCAAAGCAAAUGGGGGAGGGGUGGUGGUAAUCUAUAUACUACGUAUUCGAUAAAGCUUCAUAUUCCCUAUGGGAAACUGGGGUCGUAACAUUCUCUUCCUGGGUCUCAGUGGCCGGUGCGGUGCCUCAGCGUCUUCGUCUUCAAGCCGCUCUAGCUGGGUAGCCAGAGAAGCGUGGGAGUGCGAGACUUCUGCCAGUCGAGGCGCUCAGGUGAAGGAACUUUCCAGCAAACUGUAGUCUUCCGGAGACUGCUCUUUCCUCGUCUGUUUGGGUCGGUGGCUCAGUGCGGCUCAGGCUUCUGGGUGUUGGUUGCUCUUUGUUGUUUGUUUUUUGUCUAGUUUUUUGAAGCAUGCCUAGGGUCACGUGGGUUGGUUCCCGCUUGCGGUGGGCACAGGCUGCUCGGUGCUGGGGGCGUCCAGCUGAAUUCCAUCACUGGGGAGUCUGCCCACCCUGACUCCAGUUUGCUCUUCUCGUGGCCCUGCUCUACAGGGGCCGUGUGGGAACCCUGCUGCCUGCCAUCCCUCUGGAUUUGAUCAGACCCACGGUUCUUCUUAUUUUAAACCAUAGGUGCGCAGUACGGGGGAGGGGGGAGGGAGGAGUCACUGCUAAGGAGCCAUUCCUCAGGUUUUCACAAGCUGGCUGAGCCAUUGGAAGCUAACUACUUAUUUUCUAGGCCUGGAGAUUCCGGUUUUAAACCCCAGACCUACUGAAUUUUUAUUAGUGUACACUACUUAUAUAAACCAAUGGCUCAUUGUGACAUUUUUCAUUCACAUAUACAAUAUACUUCCGACAUUAAUCCUGAUCACUCUCCCUUCCUCCUGCCACAUAUUUGACCUUCUAUUUUCAUGUCUUUAAAAGGAACAUCUAGAUUCCAUUUGUAAGCGAAAAUAUGCUAUCUGUCCUCUGUCCUUCAUAGUCUGGCUUAUUUCCUGUACUAAAAUGACCUCCAGUUCUGUCAGGUUUUCCUGAAAAUGGUACAGUUUCAUUCUUCAUGACCAAGUAAUACUCCUUUGUGUAUGUGCAUACCACAUUUUCCUCAGCCACUUAAGCUACUUGAUUCCAUCAUGAGGCUGUUGUGAAUCGCAACAUGGUUGUGCAGACAGAUACCUUUGUGCUCUGCCUCUGGAUCCAUUGGGAAGACACCCAGAGGUGACAUGGCUGGAUUACAUUCUGGUUUCAGUUUUCAAUUUUGGACCUGGUCUUGUGUGUCCCGGUGACAGAACCUAGUCCCCAGGGGUGUCUGCCUUAACAAGCAGCUUGUCACUUGCCUUGGAGAACAUAGGCAGGCAGGAGAAAAACCAUCGCUAACCAGGAAGACGGUUUCUAUGACAGGAGUCUGUGAACAGCUUUGCUUCUUUGGGAAGAAUGAGCCAAAGGAAAUGGGACUUCAGUUGAUUCCAGAAUUCAGGUUGGGAGAAUUACCUCAGAGGGAGGGAUUGAUAGCAUUGGGGAGCUUUAUGGAAGGCAAGCAUAGUGCCUGAUUAUCUAAAGGUCUUAAAGCUCAACGUUUGUCUGAAGUGAUUGAAAUGGUCACCUGGAGGGACCUUUGGCUUGGAAUGUAUCUGCUGCCCUUGCCCUGCCCCUGCCUCCUCAUUUCUCACCUUGGCCAGCAGCACCCUGACCCUAUAGGUCCUUGAAGGGAUGAUGAUACCCCUUCAGGAAGGGGAAAAUAACAGGGCCAGCAUAGAGUUUAUGCUAUGUAAUGCGUCUCCUGUGCAUUAUUACAGAUCUCUCUCUCUCUCUCUCUCUCUCUCUCUCUCUCUCUCUCUCUCUCUCAUAUUCUCUCCCCCCCCACACUCUCCCCCUCACACAUACACACACUCUCUCUCACAUACAUACUCUCUCACACUCUUUCUCUCUCUCACAUAUGCACACACUCUCUCCCUCUCUCUCUCCCUCUCUCUCCCUCUCUCUUUCACACACACACACACACACACACACACACACACACACACAUGCAUACUCUCUCUCCCCCUUUCCCCCUCACACACACACACACUCUCUCUCUCUCUCUCUCACACACACACACACACAUUCUCUCUCCCCCUCUCUCACUCUCACACACUCUCUCUCUCUCCCCCCUCACACACACUCUCCUCCUCUCUCUUACACAUACACACACUCUUUUACACACACACUCACACACACACUCACACACACACACUCUCCCACACACUCUUUCACACACUCAUAUUCUCUCUCUCUCUCUCUCUCUCUCUCUCUCUCUCUCUCUCUCUCUCUCUCUCUCUCAGUAUGGCAGUUUCUGCUGAGGGGCAAUCUUAGGAAUGUGGUUGCCCAUAACCACUGAGGCUACUGAUCCUGUGUGCGUUUGCUUUGUCUCUGCCUAGCUCUGUGGCAUCUCAGGAUUGGUAGCUGAGCAAAUGGUACUUCAGCCACACAGCGAGGUGACAAAAAUCCUAAAUGCAGAUUUUUCUGAGGUGAGCCCUGAAGAGUGUUAGGCUCACAGGAAAGAAUGUGGGGAAAGCCAAAUGCAUGCGUGUUAGCAGCCAGAUAACAUUCUCCCUCAGGUGUCAGUGAGAGGCCUGAGGGGCUCCUAUUGACUCUUGUGUUUGGCACUUUGCUGCAUGAGGCUAACGAUAGAAUCAGACAUAAAAGAAGCGAUUUGGGGCUGAUAACCCGAAGUUAGAUUGGGGUCCUGGGUUGCUGAAAGUCUAAUAAGAUUAUGAGGAACACACCUAGAGAAAAACAUUUAAGAACACUGGGUCUUGCUGUCAACAUUUUGGCUGAUAACAAAUUGAAUGAUUUCAUUUUUCCAAAAGAAAAAGAUCUAGACUUCAAAAAUACUAUGAUUCUUGUUCAAUGUUACGUUUGCUCUCCCAGUUCAUGCCGUGUGUAAACCUCUAGAAUCUGGAGUCUAAAGCAAAACAAAAUGCAGUUGCCCUGUGGAAUUGUGACCUAGAGGGGACCUUGGAGGGGACCAAGGUGUUUUCCAGCUCAGCACCAUUCAGGCAAAGUUGUCGAAGAAAAUUUGCAGUUGGUUACCUUGCAAGCAGGUCUGUUGCUUCCGAAUCCUACUACACAAAGGCAGCUUUUGUUUGCCAAUUACUUGGUAUUUCAGAACUAAGAGGUUUUGUGCAGAAUGAAAGGGGGCACACAUCACAGCCAUUUCUCCAAUGUCCGUGAGUUUUAGAACUUAGUGGACUUGGAAAAGUUGAGUCGUGAACGGUCCGUGGGCUACUGUCUACGUAAACAGUACCAAGACAGGACUUUAUUGAACGAGAUGCAGUUAAUUUCAAAAAUCCCUUCUAGAUUCGACUUUCUCACUCUUUAUAGAAAAGUCUUGUCAUUUUUGUUACCUUUGAAGUCCCUGAUUUGAGGACAUUCGAGGUCCCUGUCCCUGAAUUGAGGUAGAUGUGCCAGAGGGUAGGUGUUUUCCAAAGCAUCAGUUUAAAUGUUGGAAUUGCAGUUGUCAUUAAUAGUUGUCUUGUGACUGGCCAAGACAAAUUAGACUUUGUGUGUUUCUGGUUUUUUUUUUGUGUAUGUUGUUGUUGUUUUGGGGUGGGCGUCCUUUUUUUUUUUCCCUUGGAGAAGGUAGGAGAGUAGGGAUGGGGAGGACCUGAGAGGAGUUAAGGAGAGAAUGAUCAAAAUAUAUUGUAUGAGAUUCUCAAACAAUAAAUAACAUAAAAAAGAUGUCUUCCUAGACAGUAGCAGUUAUCAGACACCGUAUAUAACACUCGAAAUAAUAUUCGACCUGCUUGUCUAUGUUGAUCCUAAAUGAAAUCACAAGUUACGUACAUAAUAGAGUCCAAAAUGCUUUAAAAAUGAGGAAUGGGUGCACCCUUGUUUUCUGCUUUAAGAAACAGUGGGAUGUUGGUGUUGACGUAUUUGGUCCCCAUGACCUUAAGAGAUUCCUUGCCAUACUUAAGCUUCCAGUUGUAAGGCAUGAUCCUGGCAGACUGAUUAGCGUCUGCAUCUGGAGUCAGGCACAACUCCUGAUGUUGGUCCUCCUCCAGAUAAUCGGGAAUCACGUGUUUGUUUGCAGUUUCCCAGAGAAGCCGGUGAUGUAUUCAGACUGCAGAUGUCAGCUAUGCUUCCUCCACUGAAAAGGGAACCGGUUAGGGGGAGGGGCAGGCCCCCGGGGUUCCACCUUGCAUGCCAGAGUCCUCUGCCCCAGUGACUGUCAGGGUCCCUCUGUCCCUCUCCCAAUCGGAACCACUUACUCCUCGAUUUCAUUCUAGCCUUUUGGCUUGGAUGGCGUAUUCAGCCAUCAGUUCAUAUUGUGUGGUCUGAGUUAUAAAAUGCCCCCGCUGGUUUUUCCAUACGAAAAGCAUGUUUUUCAUUUGUGGAAACUUAUAUAAUUUUUCCCCCAGUCUCUCUCUCUCUCUUUCCCUCUCUCUCCCUCUGUCUCUUUUGUGCUGCUUUAAAUUAAAAGCAAAUGUAUUCCCCUCCCCUUCAUUCUGGCUCUCCCGCCCCACCCCCACCUUUGCAUGUUCCAAUUACAGAGUUGUGAAAAUAAGUCAUCUUUCGGCUUUUGUUACUUUAAAACAGCUAUCGGUGAUGUCAGAGUCAAUACUAAAAGCACUAAGAAUGCUGGCAGAGCGCGGUGCAGCUGCAGUCCAACAUGAUGCUGGAAAUGGGGUUGAGAGCAUAAAGGCUUUCCAUAUUCCCAGGGCGCACCACUGCUCGCGGCCUUGGCUUUGAUCUCUUCAAAGGCUGCUGCCUCCUCCUCGAUGGGGAGACUUGGCUGCCACUCGCUUACAUUGAAAAAAGGCAGAGGUCUCUAUUCAGGCAGAAAUCAAUCACUGUGCAGAAACAAUUAUGUGUAAUUCAACCAUCAUGAAAACAGGACGAGAUUACCGGGUUUGUUACCUGAGUGACUGUGUGGAGACGGGGAGCAGAGAACACUGGAGUCCUGCUGACAUGCCACAUCUCGAUGACAAUUAUAGACAUAUGAAUGAUGUGGCGGGCGGGGGAGGCCCAAUGACAAAUGCUGGUCACGCCGUCCAGCAGAGCAGAAAAUGAGGUUACAAUUGGGAGAUAAUGUUUGCAUAUGUAACCGUAUUUCAGCAAGCUGAACAACUUCAGGGAAUCGACCCUUAGAAACUCUGGGGAAUAUCUGUGUGCAUCUGUAUGUGUACUGGCUUGUAGCUUCACUAUCGGCAGAAUCCAAGAUCAAAAUAAUCCAGACAAUUCAGGAUUGCGCCAGAUGAGGAGAAAGAAACUUUAACUUGGGGCUGUGUUGGCUUGUUUGGAGCGGACGGUAGGGACACCGGGCUCUGGGAGCACAACGUCUAACCUAAUAUGCGGGUCUGUCUUUAAACAUCUGGUUCAAGAAUAACGUUUUGUUUUAGAAUCCGCUACUCUGUCUCACAAAGGCCUUAGCAUUUUGCUCGUUGGUGUGAACCCUUCAGAAAGUGAGUUUUGUUGGUUGUACCGUCUUCCCUUGUUUUCAGGUGUUGUUUUUAUAAAGCAGACUUGAGAAGCCUCUAAAUUUCCUUUCAUUGUGAACAAAAACAAGGCCAAUUUUCUACAUAGGAAAUAACUUCUUGCCCUCAGUAGAGGUCUAUUUAAUCUCGCAGCCCCGGCCUGCAAAGCCGCCGAGGUAUUUAUUUUUUUUAUUUUAACUCAUUCUUGACACCUGACAGAAGCGUGGGAGUUACCUCACAUUUUGCUGGCUAGCUGAGGUGAGGGGGGGUGGGGGUAGUGGGGGAGGACAGCACAAAAUAAGAAGAAAACCCGGACGGCUGAUUAUCAAACUUGGUAUUGCUGCUGUGCAGUUUGAUACCCAAGCCCUGGGUUUACCUUUUAUGCCGCUCCAGCUUAGACAUCAGAGGUGUGAGAGCUGCUUUGAGUUACAGAUCUUCAAACAAUAAGUCAAAACAACAAAAAAAAAAAUCAAUCCCCUCCGGUCCCUGGGUGCAGUUAUGGAAAGAUAAAAGAGAAAAGUGAAGUUAUGCUAAAGUAGAUACAAGGAGAGGAGAGCAGAUAGGCUAGGGAGAAAAACAUGGAGGACAAGGCUGAGGUGAAGUGGGCCUCUUGUGAGCCAACAUCAAUGGACUUUUAUCUUAUCACAAAGUUAGAGGCUUGGUUGCCAGUUCCCUUCAAACUGGAUCCAGUCUGAUCCCAGGCUGCCCAGACCAGCGCCUUCUGUAAAGUUGCUCCCCCCACCCCCAUCUUAAAUGCAAUCAACUUAGAAUGAAUGAGGUUACCUUCCAUCCAAUGCAUAAAACUCAGCCACUGACUUCAGUGGCAAAUUAGAGGUUUUGAUAAUCCCUUGGCAUUUUGAAUAUAAAUCGAGGGGGGUAGGUCUGUGUAUUUUGUGUCUGUGUUUAUGGAAAGCUGAGGGUUAUGCGAAGUGUCAGGCAAAUCUCUACACCGUGUGUCCAUUCUGUGGCCAGGUUUCUAAUAGCCAGGAAGCCCCAUGCAUUCUUUUGGAGGUAAGACGUCACCUGUGCUCGCCCUGUUUCUUGUGGCUAAUAUCAGGUAUGUCUGGAAAAUAAUAACCAUUGGAAGCACUGUUUUUUGAUACACGAGCCAGCAUGCAUUUUGAUGAGUCCAAGACAGUAGAAAACCAAAAAGGCUCACAUUUUAAGAACAGUCUUAAAGUGGCAACCAUUCUAGCUAAUAGUUUCUUAGCUAAGACCCAGUGCAUUUCUUUGCCUCCCAGAGGGUUCCCAGAUGGCCCCCAGCCUUCAUUCUCAUCUUUCCUUCUCCAGAGAAGAGCAGGCAUCUGAGUUACCUCGGGCAUGAACAGGGCGGGGCUCUGGCCUAGCAUCCACCUCUUUAGCCACUGUCCUGCCCCACCCCAUGUGAGCCCAGGGAAGCAGGGGCCUGUCUCACAGCCCUUCAGGAUUUUGGUUUCAGGUUUUACAGAAGAAAAGGAAGUCAUCUUGGCACUGUUAGAGCUAGAGGCUGCUAUUUAAGGAACCGUGUUCUAUAUAUAACUGUAGUUAAUCAUUUGAGUAAAGCCAUCCCAACUUUCAUUUGCAUAGCUCAGAUGACUCACUGUUUUGAAAACUAAAUAAACUCAAAUGGAAAACAACCGCCCAGUGUCUGCUGCAACUUUGAUUCCUUCUGUGGAGUUAAUGAGCAGAACAGUGGCAGAGUCAUUUCCAUACGUCUAAGGCUUUAAAAAAAAAUUAAUGAGUGUACUUUACAGUAAACAUCGAAGCUCCGCUCUGUGCUCCCUGGGCCUGGAGAAGAAGGCUAUGAUUAUUUCUGGUUUCUUCAGGAAGUUGAGAUGGGGCAAUGUCAGGCUGUAUUUUUAGGUCUUUGUCCUCCAACUCUCCUUCUGGCUGGCUUCAGCCAGCAUUUCCACGGCAGUCUCUUGCCGUUUCCUAUCCGUAAUCCCUUCUUGUUAUCCUUCCAGGCCGCUCCUCACAGGAUGUUGUUGUAAGUGGCUUCACGUUGACCUGCAGGGAAGGAAGUGAGGCAAGGCCUGGUACAGUGGGUGCAACAAGUUCCCUUCUGCCCUCGCUUGGAAGGACCCUCAAAUUCCCCACAAAUAGUCAGCGGUAUCUGCAAAGGGGUUGGGAAAAGACUGGAUGGAGAGCCUUUACAAUCUCCACAGGGGUCUAGACCACCUCUGAUGGUUGCUGACUAAAAGCAGCCUGCGAGGUACAGCACCCAACUCCCUGUUCCAACCAAAUUGCUAUUCUUAAGCCACCUGUAAGUAGAAAUGUGGAGGUCACCGAUGUACGUGCACACAUGCAUGUGCGUGUGUGCGCUUUCAUAUAUAAAUGUAGUAUUUAAAGCUCAUGGGACAGACUGCCAGCACUCAGGUAGAUUAAGGUGAGAGAAACGGUGGGGUUCAGUGGUAGAGCGCUUGCCUAGCAAGCACAAGGCCCUGGGUUCGGUCCCCAGCUCCGGGAAAAAAAAGGAAAAAAAAAAAAAAAGGUGAGAGAAACGGAAACAUCCUUGGUACUUGGAUGCUAGCAUGUGCUAGUUAAUGCUGUUGGAAAACACAACCCUGUUUGCCAUACAAUUCAAAAAACUUCUGUUAUGUACACUUUAAAAUAUUAUUACUUUAAUAAAUUACUCUGUGUGUGUGUGUGUGUGUGUGUGUGUGUGUGUGUAUGCACACCAUGUGCGUGCAGUGCUCACAGAGAUUAAAGGGGGGCAGUUGGGCCCUAGAACUAGAGUUCUGGUAUAUGUGAGUGAGUCCUUGUAGAUUCUAGGAACUGAACCUGGGUCUGUGCAAAAGCAUCAAGUACUCUCUGUCUCUCUCUCAUUUUUUUUAAAGAUUUAUUUAUUUUCUUUAUAUGAGUACACUGUAGCUGCUUUCAAACACACCAGUAGAGGGCAUCAGAUCCCAUUACACAUGGUUGUGAGCCACCAUGUGGUUGCUGGGAAGAGCUCUGGAAGAGCAGUCAGUGCUCUUAACUGCUGAGCCAUCUCUCCAGCCUGUAUCAAGAACUCUUAACCAAUUUAACCAGUGACAUAUUAUACUCAACAGCCCCAUUACUGGUUUUUUUUUUUUUUUGAGAUAUGCUAACAUUUAUUUUUGUUUGCUUGAUAUUUGAAUUUCCACUUUUGACCAGUUUCCGGGGUGAGGACGGAAGUGUGGAGUCCGGCAUGUACGCUGGCAUGUACCUCUAAGCCUGUGUUUCUAUUAGAGAAGGAAGUUCAGAUUUGGGGUUGUGUUCCUAGGGUUUGCGUGAUCACAGGAGAAUAUGUGUACCCCCAAAUGUGUUAAAGGGUUUGGUAAUUUGGAUUUAGGGUGGCAGAACCAUUCUUUAUAUUUUCUUCCUUUUCAUACACCCCAGGGGAAUUAACUAAAUAUUUUAUCAGAAAAUAGUUUUUCAGUUACACAAGUGUUAUAUUCUUGCGUGUUAUGUAUAGAGGGAUAUAUUCUAUAAGUCAAGGUUAAGUUUUAUACCGAGUCUAUCCCUGUAUAUUUGCGGUAGUUAAAAAGAAAGCUGUCUUUGGGUUUUUGAAUAACAAGUAAAAUAGGAGUUUAAGGUCUAAAACGUACUCUCAGGGCACGUCAGGGUCUGGCAGGUGUUACAAGCAAAAAGGAGGUCACAGAUUUUCAGUCUUCUGAGGUGAAAUCCUGUCCUGGACCUGAAGUUUAGCCUAAGUGGCAGCCUCCUCCCUCCCAUCUUCCCUCUUUCCUCACAAGCCCCACCCUGUGGGACUCCCUGGAAGCUGCAGUGUUUGCUCAAGACCCUCAUUGUUACUGUAACCCCCCCCUCUCUUCUCUCUCUCUUUUUCUCUCUCUCUUUCUCUCGUUUCUCUGUGUCUGUUUCUCUCUGUUUCUCUCUUUGUGUGUGUUUUCUCUCUUUGUGUCUGUAUCUCUCUGUCUCUCUGUCUCUCUCUCUCAGUCUCUCUCUGUCUCUGUCUCUCUCUGUCUCUCUCUCUCUCUGUCUCUCUGUCUCUCUCUCUGUCUCUCUGUCUCUCUGUCUCUCUCUCUCUCUCUCUCUCUCUCUCUCUCAAUGCACUCCAAA